GACGAACGCUGGCGGCAUGCCUAAUACAUGCAAGUAGAACGCCGUUGCGAACGGGUGAGUAACGAGUAGGGAACUGCCUAAUAGCGGGGGAUAACUAUUGGAAACGAUAACUAAUACCGCAUACUGUGAGAUGGACCUGCGUUGGAUUAGAUAGUUGGUGAGGUAAAGGCCCCCCAAGGCGACGCUACCUAGACGCCCUGAGAGGGUGAUCGGCCACACUGGGACUGAGUAACUGGCCAGACGUCUUACGGGGGCAGCAGUAGGGAAUCUUCGGCAAUGGAGGGCAUGCUGACCGAGCAACGCCGCGGUGUUGAAGAAGGUUUUCUGAGUGUAAAGCUCUGUUGUGAGAGAAGCGGUAACUAACCAGAAAGCGACGGCUAACUACGUGCCAGCCGCCGCGGUAAUUC
rnacentral:rRNA from 1 species